UACGAAUGGGGCAAGCGUUGUUCGGAAUCACUGGGCGUAAAGCGUGCGUAGGCGGUUUAACAAGUCAGAAGUGAAAGCCCAGGGCUCAACCCUGGAACCGCUUUUGAAACUGUUAGACUAGUGUCCCGGAGAGGUUGGCGGAAUUCCCAGUGUAGAGGUGAAAUUCGCAGAUAUUGGGAGGAACACCAGUGGCGCAAGCGGCCAACUGGACGGGUACAGACGCUGAGGCACGAAAGCGUGGGGAUCAAACAGG
rnacentral:rRNA from 1 species